UCAGUCGAAGUCGGGGACGAGGUCCGGCUCCCGUGGGAGUCCGGACGGAGUCUUCCCGCAGCUGGAGUCGGAGACGAGAUCUGGCUCUCGUAGGAGCCCGGGCGAAGUCUACCUGCAAUCAAAGUCAGGGGCGAAGUCCGGCUCCCUUAGGAGUCCGGACGAAGUUUACCAGUAGUCGAGGUCGAGGAUGGAGCCCGGCUCCCGUAGGAGUCCGAGCGAAG
rnacentral:lncRNA from 1 species